rnacentral:rRNA from 1 species
AGUGGCGGACGGGUGAGUAACGCGUGAGGAACCUGCCUUUCAGAGGGGGACAACAGUUGGAAACGACUGCUAAUACCGCAUGACACAUAGGGGUCGCAUGGCCUUUAUGUCAAAGAUUUAUCGCUGAAAGAUGGCCUCGCGUCUGAUUAGCUAGUUGGUGAGGUAACGGCCCACCAAGGCGACGAUCGGUAGCCGGACUGAGAGGUUGAACGGCCACAUUGGGACUGAGACACGGCCCAGACUCCUACGGGAGGCAGCAGUGGGGAAUAUUGCACAAUGGGGGAAACCCUGAUGCAGCGACGCCGCGUGGAGGAAGAAGGUCUUCGGAUUGUAAACUCCUGUUGUUGAGGAAGAUAAUGACGGUACUCAACAAGGAAGUGACGGCUAACUACGUGCCAGCAGCCGCGGUAAAACGUAGGUCACAAGCGUUGUCCGGAAUUACUGGGUGUAAAGGGAGCGCAGGCGGGCGAUCAAGUUGGAAGUGAAAUCCAUGGGCUCAACCCAUGAACUGCUUUCAAAACUGGUCGUCUUGAGUAGUGCAGAGGUAGGCGGAAUUCCCGGUGUAGCGGUGGAAUGCGUAGAUAUCGGGAGGAACACCAGUGGCGAAGGCGGCCUACUGGGCACCAACUGACGCUGAGGCUCGAAAGUGUGGGUAGCAAACAGGAUUAGAUACCCUGGUAGUCCACACCGUAAACGAUGAUUACUAGGUGUUGGGAGAUUGACCCUCUCAGUGCCGCAGUUAACACAAUAAGUAAUCCACCUGGGGAGUACGACCGCAAGGUUGAAACUCAAAGGAAUUGACGGGGGCCCGCACAAGCAGUGGAGUAUGUGGUUUAAUUCGACGCAACGCGAAGAACCUUACCAAGUCUUGACAUCCCUUGACGAUGCUGGAAACAGUAUUUCUCUUCGGAGCAAGGAGACAGGUGGUGCAUGGUUGUCGUCAGCUCGUGUCGUGAGAUGUUGGGUUAAGUCCCGCAACGAGCGCAACCCUUAUGGUCAGUUACUACGCAAGAGGACUCUGGCCAGACUGCCGUUGACAAAACGGAGGAAGGUGGGGAUGACGUCACAAUCAUCAUGCCCUUUAUGACUUGGGCUACACACGUACUACAAUGGCGUUAAACAAAGAGAAGCAAGACCGCGAGGUGGAGCAAAACUCAGAAACAACGUCCCAGUUCGGACUGCAGGCUGCAACUCGCCUGCACGAAGUCGGAAUUGCUAGUAAUCGUGGAUCAGCAUGCCACGGUGAAUACGUUCCCGGGCCUUGUACACACCGCCCGUCA